UUGCCCGUCAGAAAUUGCUUCUAUUUGUUUUGAUAUCGCUCGCGACUUACGACGGUUUCAAGCCACUCAAUUGACUCAUGUGCGUCGUCAGGGUAAUCGGGUGGCUCAUGCUUUGGCAGCUCUUUUGCGGUCUGGGAUUAUGUCCGAUAUGUGGUUGUCUUCUAUUCUUCCUUCUAUCGUCCCUUUUGUGGUGGCAGAGGGUGGGUCUUAGUAGGUUGUGGUUCUUUUGGUUUCUUGUGUUGUGGUUGUUUUUGCCUUAGACAAAAAAAAUAAAAAAUAAAAAAUAAAAAAAAUGUAAUGUUCCAUUCAGUCCCAUACAAGUCUUAUAUAAUACAAAUAUAUACCAAUUUUUUAAAAAAUAAAAAAGAAAAGAACAAUAUAAUUCAAAGUGUUAAACUUUGGUAAAAGAAAAUUAUCUAGUUAUGAUAAUAACACUAACUUUUUGUAGAAAAAUUUUAAAUUAUUCAUCUUUCUAAGUAUCUAGUUUAAUAUGGGGAGAUGCAAAACCCUUUUUAUCUCUAUUUAAGAAAUGCUGUCUCUUGACUCCAGACGAGCAACUUCGUCUCUCUUUCCCCAUCUCUCCCUUGGGCUCUCUUUCUCCCUCUAGGGUUCCCUUCCUAUCAUAUUCUUUUGACGGCUGUAUGUGAAAAAAGACCCAUAUGAGUCGAAGCUUUGAACUCAUGAUUCGGUAUUCGAUUUACAGUGCAAUCGGAUCUUGAUCUGUGCCUAACCCAGGUGAGAGAGUCCAUCAAUAUACCAUGAUUACUUCCCAAAAGUUACUUGUAUUACCAGAUCACCUUGCGACCAGUUUGAUCUUGGUUUCGGACAGGUCAAGGGUUCGAUCCGGUACUUUCUUGUCUUCAAGAGAAAUUACAGCUAGCUCAAAAGAUUAAUUUUUGGUCUAGUAACCCUAUUCAUUGCCAUAGUAUCUAUAAUGAUAGAUUUUGGAGCCAUACUAUACCUUAUUUUUGGACAGAAGGCAUCCUCACCUCCUUUUAUGCAAAAGAUUAACUCUGCUCUUCUCCAUAGUAGUGAUGACAGACUUUGGAGCCACACUUUACCUUGUUUUUGACCGAAGAAAGCAUGGAUUGUUGCUAGUAAGUGUUUUUACUAUUGCACCAACAUUGGGAUAUGAUCAGAUCUGCUUAUGGUGGUGGCAUUUUCGGCAAACAUUAGAUGAUCGUUUGCUCUUCUUCUAGACAAUAGAUAGAAGAAACAGUUUCUUUUAAUAUGUAUCAUAAUGUCAUGGCGCCCGUAACAUUGUUGUUGUGACUAUUGUUGCUACGGUAUGGAUUUAAGACUAUAUGCUUGA